CCACUCAAAAACGCGAACCAGGUACUCCUGCCUCUGGCUGUCGAGCGGAGCGCCGCCGCGCCGCCGCACCUUCUCCCGUCCCCGCCGACCCGCCGAACACCGACCCUAGGACUCCCAUGCCGCUGGCGCAGUGCACGACCCGGCCAUUCGGAUAUCGUGCUGGCCUCGCCCCGUCGUCAUCAGCAGGCACAGCGGCUCCUGAAUCCAGUAGCCACGGCCGCACACAACACACGCCGGUAGGCGGCACACUUCACGCCUCCGAGCGAUGGCGCAGGUGAGUAGCACCGACCGCAGCAUCACUACAUCAACAUUCGGCACUUAGCAGGCAUCAACACGAUUUGUACUCCAAUUUCGGAUUUUAUCGGAUGUCCCCGAGGGGAUUCAAUUUCUGAUUUUUUUUCCAAUUAAAGAACGAAGAAUAUGAUUGAUGGGUGUGAUCCUUUUUUUUAUAAGUAUUGUGAAAAUUGUUGAUUUGUAGGUUCCAAAAAUAAAGAAUAAGCGUGGUGAUUGAAACAUUUGUGCCCCCAUUUCUUGGUUACAAAAAAAAUCAUAUAGUUAAAUUGUAAUUGUUUCUAUGUCCUUUCAAUGUAACUAAAUAUAUUGGAUGUUGCCAAUAUUAAGAACAAUUUGUAGGUUCGUUGUCAUUAUUGUGAAUUUUCAUAUCUUGUAUUUGUAGCUUCUGCAGGUGUAACUUCAAGGUAUCACCAUGGCGAGAUCCUCUUUGCUGAUAACCAGGAACGUGAGAAUCGUUUGGAUGCUGAAAACUCUGAAGUGAGCACUGUGAAGUAUGAUAUGCACUUGACGCUGGAUCAUUGCACUACCCCAUUGAGUUCGAAUAUGAUUCUGCUAACUCUGAUGUAGCGCCAGCAUGUAGAAGCUACAACAUCUACGCUGAUGUUCGUAACCUUCGUUCCUGGUUUAUCACCUGUGUAAGUUCCUGAAAAUUGGUAGGCAACGCGCUGGUUCUGUUCAUGUUCUUGCUGCCCAGGCACAUCAGAUUAGAAUUAGUAAUCUAUCUAUGGAUGGGGCAUGUCCCUCCAUUGUUGAGAUGGUUUGUUAUGACUCUGUAAUUGAUUUCGUAUGAGUAAAGCAAAAUGGUCUGUGCUCCCUUCUGUUGACCUGAUGAUUCUGUUGUAUGUUAAAACUGAAAAAAUGUCUGUAUAUUGCAUAUACAUGUGAAGCCCAAUGGCUCGGUAUAAUAAAGAAUGAUAUUUGCUCACUUAUG
rnacentral:lncRNA from 1 species